AGUGUGUUUGGGGUUGGCAGGGUGUGUUAGGAGGGCGUAGAUCCUCUUCGGUUUUUACUUCCAGCAUCACCGGAGCUUUCCUUCUCACUGGGCAGUGGCUGCCCAUAGCAGGCCUCGUUUACCUGAACGGGGCUGGGAGGAGAGAAAAAAGGGAGGGCAUGGGAGCGGUGGUGGUGGAAGGAAGCGGUUUCGAGUGACAAAGGCGCGGGAAGCGGGGGCAGCCCGCGGUGCCGCUCGGUCCGGAGGCCGGUGGCUUUCUUUAGUACGAAUAAUAAUAUAAUCUGACGUGCUGAACUAAAAGCUGCUCAGUAGAAGAGGUGUAACAGACAGGUUCGGAGUCCUGAGCAUAAACGCAUUUUGGCAUCAGUUGAUAGCAUUUUGAAUGAAAUUUUGUGGAACUGGACAAAUUAUAUCUAUUUACACGUGAAGAAUACCUGCCAUAAAGAAGUCUCAUAUAGACAUCUCUGAACUGCUUUUAGAAGAGGGCAAAGCUGGUAGAGGCCUGAAACACAUUCUUAACAUGGCUGCAUCAAAAGAAGCGUGACCAGCAGGUCAAAGGAGGCGGUCCUGCCCCUCUACUCUGCUCUUGUGAGACCUCACUUGGAGUACUGCAUACAGUCCUGGUGUCCUCAACAUAAAAAGGACAUGGAGCUGUUGGAGCGAGUCCAGAGGAGGCCCACGAGGAUGAUAAGAGGGCUGGAGCACCUCCUGUAUGAAGACAGGCUGAGAAAGUUGGGGCUGUUCAGCCUGGAGAAGAGAAGGCUGCGUGGAGACCUCAUAGCAGCCUUCCAGUAUCUGAAGGGGGUCUAUAAGGAUGCUGGGGAAGCACUCUUCCUUAGGGAGUGUAGUGGUAGGACAAGGGAUAAUGGGUUCAAACUUAAACAGGGGAAGUUUAGAUUAGAUUUAAGGAAGAAGUUCUUUACAGUGAGGGUGGUGAAGCACUGGAAUGGGUUGCCCAGGGAGGUUGUGGAUGCUCCAUCCCUGGUGGUGUUCAAGGCCAGGUUGGACAGAGCCCUGGACCACGUGGUUUAGGGCAAGGUGUCCCUGCCCAUGGCAGGGGGGUUGGAACUAGAUGAUUUUAAGGUCCUUUCCAACCCUUACGAUUCUAUUAUUCUAUGAUUCUAUGGUAGAAAUAGUGCAAGUUUGCCACAUAGAAGAAAUUAAAAAGUAUUAUUUCAUUUCAUAUUAGAUUCUUGUUGGUGAAUUGUGCUAAAUAAUUACAAGAAGGAAAAAUAUAUUACCUCCAUGUGGCUUACCAGGUAAAAAAUAAUUAUCAGUAGUCACCAUCAAGUUGUAAGCUUAGAGCAAGUAACUAUACAAGUGUUGUAUUCAUCCAUCUGCAGACUUCCUUGGCUUUUUAUUUCACCUGUACCAUUGAAAGCCUCAUCUGAUAUUUACAUUGCUUCUCACAACAAAAAUUCCUCAGUGAAUUGAUUAUGUGGUGCUAUUAUUUGCUGCUGUGAACUAAAGUCAAUGCAAAGAACAUAACUUCAUAUUACUUGUCAUACAGCAUUCAUUAUUACAUUCUUCCUACUCGCUGUUGUAGUCCAGUCUUAACACCAGCUUCUAAAUAAUUUGAAUACUUAAAUUUAGGAUGAUAGCUAAUGGUCGCAUUACUGUAUUACAUUCAGAGAAUGAGCUCUCAAAAUUCUAUAGGAAAGUUAUUCUCAAUUAUUGAAAAAAUAGGGUUUUUAUUAUUAUUUCACUGUCAUUUAUUUAAAAGGAUCUGCCCAGACAUAUAUACUACCUAUAAAUUAAUAACAGGUAAACAUAACAAUGUUUGUGCAUCCCAUUAACAAUUUAAAAUGAGAGGCACCUACCUGUAUGUUAUACCAGCCCUUAAAAGAGACAGAAAUGGAAAAGCACAAUACAUGUUUUCAUUCAUUCUAUAGAAAAAAAA
ensembl:lncRNA